CUGUGUGUGAUGGGUUGGCAGUGUAUUGUUAGCUGGUUGAUAUAUAAAUGGCAUCAGCUAACAUGCAACUGCUAUCUUAUUGCAUAUACG
rnacentral:pre_miRNA from 1 species